GAUGAACGCUAGCGGAAGGCAUAAUACAUGCAAGUCGAACGGAUGUAGCAAUACAUUAGUGGCGCACGGGUGCGUAACGCGUAUGCAACCUACCUUCAUCAGGGGAUAACUACCCGAAAGGGUGGCUAACACCGCAUAAUACUAUUGAGUGGCAUCACUUGAUAUUUAAAUCUGAGGAGGAUGAAGAUGGGCAUGCGUCUGAUUAGCUAGUUGGUGUGGUAACGGCGCACCAAGGCGACGAUCAGUAGGGGAACUGAGAGGUUGGUCCCCCACACUGGCAAUGAGAUACGGGCCAGACUCCUACGGGAGGCAGCAGUAGGGAAUAUUGGUCAAUGGUGGGAACACUGAACCAGCCAUUCCGCGGGCAGGAAGAAGGGUCUCUGACUUGUAAACUGCUUUAGCAAGGGAAGAAAAAGCUCAUGCGUGAGAAAUUGACGGUACCUUGAGAAUAAGCACCGGCUAACUACGUGCCAGCCGCCGCGGUAAUAC
rnacentral:rRNA from 1 species